AGCGCAACCCUACUUGCCAGUUGCUACCAGGUAAUGCUGGGCGACUCUGGUGAGACUGCCCGGUUAACCGGGGAGGAAGGUGGGGACGACGUCAAGUCAUCAUGGCCCUUACGCCUAGGGCUACACACGUACUACAAUGGCGCAUACAAAGGGCAGCGAUACCGCGAGGUGGAGCCAAUCCCAAAAAGUGCGUCCCAGUCCGGAUUGCAGUCUGCAACUCGACUGCAUGAAGUUGGAAUCGCUAGUAAUUCGAGAUCAGCAUGCUCGGGUGAAUGCGUUCCCGGGCCUU
rnacentral:rRNA from 1 species